rnacentral:rRNA from 1 species
CGCCUGGGGAGUACGGCCGCAAGGUUAAAACUCAAAUGAAUUGACGGGGGCCCGCACAAGCGGUGGAGCAUGUGGUUUAAUUCGAUGCAACGCGAAGAACCUUACCUGGUCUUGACAUCCACAGAACUUUCCAGAGAUGGAUUGGUGCCUUCGGGAACUGUGAGACAGGUGCUGCAUGGCUGUCGUCAGCUCGUGUUGUGAAAUGUUGGGUUAAGUCCCGCAACGAGCGCAACCCUUAUCCUUUGUUGCCAGCGGUCCGGCCGGGAACUCAAAGGAGACUGCCAGUGAUAAACUGGAGGAAGGUGGGGAUGACGUCAAGUCAUCAUGGCCCUUACGACCAGGGCUACACACGUGCUACAAUGGCGCAUACAAAGAGAAGCGACCUCGCGAGAGCAAGCGGACCUCAUAAAGUGCGUCGUAGUCCGGAUUGGAGUCUGCAACUCGACUCCAUGAAGUCGGAAUCGCUAGUAAUCGUGGAUCAGAAUGCCACGGUGAAUACGUUCCCGGGCCUUGUACACACCGCCCGUCACACCAUGGGAGUGGGUUGCAAAAGAAGUAGGUAGCUUAACCUUCGGGAGGGCGCUUACCACUUUGUGAUUCAUGACUGGGGUGAAGUCGUAACAAGGUAACCGUAGGGGAACCUGCGGUUGGAUCACCUCCUUA